rnacentral:rRNA from 1 species
GGUUAUAGAAUAGAUUUUAUAGUUGUUAUAUUUAAUUUAUUAAGGAUAAGCUUAAUAAGAAGUAGGAAAGAUAUAUAAACCAAAUAAAUUAUGUAGGCUUGAGAUUAGCCACCAUAGUAGAACUUGUUAUAAAAUAGUUUAUAAAAUUGGAAAAAUUUCUUGUAUUUAUUUUCCUAAUGCUAUAGAGGUAAUAGAAGAAACUAAUAAAUCUAGUCUAUGUAUGCUAAGAUGAGUAUUUUUAAAUUUUAAGAAGAUAAAAUAUUAAAAAAUAUCUAUAAUAAUAGUUUUUAUAAAAAUAAAGUAAGAAAAAGGAACUCGGCAAAUAUUAGCUCCGCCUGUUUAUCAAAAACAUGGCUCUUUGUUAAUUUAAUAUAGAGAGUCGAACCUGCCCAGUGAAAAUUUUUAACGGCCGCGGUACCCUGACCGUGCAAAGGUAGCAUAAUCAUUUGCCUUAUAAUUGAAGGCUUGUAUGAAUGGUCUAACGAGAGCGUUGCUGUCUCUUUUUUAAUAAAUAGAAUUUGACCUCUAGGUGAAGAGGCCUAGAUAAAAUUGAUAGACAAGAAGACCCUAUUGAGCUUUAAAAUUAAAUUAGGAGAAAUUAUAAAUUUAGAUUUACUACUAACUUAUUUUUUGAUUGGGGCGAUCAAGGAACAAUAAAAGCUUCCUUUACCUAUAUAUAAUUUAUAAAUAUUGAUCCGGUUAAAACCGAUUAGAAGAAUUAGUUACCAUAGGGAUAACAGCAUAAUCUUUCUUGAGAGAUCUAAUCGAAAGAGGGGGUUGUGACCUCGAUGUUGGACUAAAAUAUCCUAAAGAUGCAGAAGUCUUA